UACGGGGGGUGCGAGCGUUGUCCGGAAUCACUGGGCGUAAAGGGCGCGUAGGUGGCGUUCCAAGUCAACGGUGAAAGCUCGGGGCUCAACCCCGAGUCGGCCGUCGAUACUGGGAGGCUCGAGCACUGUAGAGGCAGAUGGAAUUCCGGGUGUAGCGGUGGAAUGCGUAGAGAUCCGGAAGAACACCGGUGGCGAAGGCGGUCUGCUGGGCAGUAGCUGACACUGAGGCGCGACAGCGUGGGGAGCAAACAGG
rnacentral:rRNA from 1 species